rnacentral:rRNA from 1 species
GAGUACGGCCGCAAGGUUAAAACUCAAAUGAAUUGACGGGGGCCCGCACAAGCGGUGGAGCAUGUGGUUUAAUUCGAUGCAACGCGAAGAACCUUACCUGGUCUUGACAUCCACAGAAGAAUCCAGAGAUGGAUUUGUGCCUUCGGGAACUGUGAGACAGGUGCUGCAUGGCUGUCGUCAGCUCGUGUUGUGAAAUGUUGGGUUAAGUCCCGCAACGAGCGCAACCCUUAUCCUUUGUUGCCAGCGAUUAGGUCGGGAACUCAAAGGAGACUGCCAGUGAUAAACUGGAGGAAGGUGGGGAUGACGUCAAGUCAUCAUGGCCCUUACGACCAGGGCUACACACGUGCUACAAUGGCGCAUACAAAGAGAAGCGACCUCGCGAGAGCAAGCGGACCUCAUAAAGUGCGUCGUAGUCCGGAUUGGAGUCUGCAACUCGACUCCAUGAAGUCGGAAUCGCUAGUAAUCGUGGAUCAGAAUGCCACGGUGAAUACGUUCCCGGGCCUUGUACACACCGCCCGUCACACCAUGGGAGUGGGUUGCAAAAGAAGUAGGUAGCUUAACCUUCGGGAGGGCGCUUACCACUUUGUGAUUCAUGACUGGGGUGAAGUCGUAACAAGGUAACCGUAGGGGAACCUGCGGUUGGAUCACCUCCUUACCUUAAAGAA